UACGGGGGGGGCAAGCGUUGUUCGGAAUUACUGGGCGUAAAGGGCUCGUAGGCGGCGCGGUAAGUCGGGUGUGAAAUCUCGGGGCUUAACUCCGAAACUGCAUUCGAUACUGCCGUGCUUGAGGACUGGAGAGGAGACUGGAAUUUACGGUGUAGCAGUGAAAUGCGUAGAUAUCGUAAGGAAGACCAGUGGCGAAGGCGGGUCUCUGGACAGUUCCUGACACUGAGA
rnacentral:rRNA from 1 species